GGUAAUAUGGCUGAGUAAGCGGUAGGCUGUAAAUCUACACACAGGGGCCGUAGACCCUUAUUACCA
rnacentral:tRNA from 1 species